GGUUUUCAACGGUUAUAUUGACAUGUUCAACUAGCUAUUGAAUCGUUCGAGCAUAUAAUUGACAAGUUCAGAAAGUUAUUGAAUUGUACGGAAGAUGGCGUUGACAAGUUCGACACAUCUGUUGAAUAGUUCGGUUGCAGCGUUUUGGCGGCUGCACCAAUUCGUGUAGUAUUUGCACUGGGUCAGCCUUGUCAAACUUGUAAACAUACGAAGCGUCAAGCUAGCUGCGGAUGUGUUGUGGCUCGUGCAUUUUACUAUACCAAACAUUUAUCCAAACUAUUAGUUGGCUCUCGGACAAUUGAACAGCCCACACCAAUACCAGCGUGGUUGCAGCAGUUGUCUAGUGGUGCGGUAGCAGCUACACAUUACAUAUUUGUGCCAACGAGCAAUUCCUUUGUAGCAAAAUUAUUUUGUUCAGUGAAAAUCGUCAAAAAACACUGGAGAAAUGGCUACUAAUAAACGAGCUACUAUUUCGCACGAAGAAAA